CAUGCGGCGCAUUAGCUAGUCGGCGGGGUAACGGCCCACCGAGGCGACGAUGCGUAGGGGUUCUGAGAGGAAGGUCCCCCACACUGGUACUGAGACACGGACCAGACUCCUACGGGAGGCAGCAGUGAGGAAUAUUGGUCAAUGGGCGGAAGCCUGAACCAGCCAAGUCGCGUGAGGGAAGACGGUCCUAUGGAUUGUAAACCUCUUUUGCAGGGGAGCAAGGCGCGGUACGUGUACCGCGAAGGAGAGUACCCUGAGAAAAAGCAUCGGCUAACUCCGUGCCAGCGGCCGCGGUAAUACGGAGGAUGCGAGCGUUAUCCGGAUUUAUUGGGUUUAAAGGGUGCGCAGGCGGACUGUUAAGUCAGCGGUAAAAUGUCGGUGCUCAACACCGGCCGGCCGUUGAAACUGGCAGCCUUGAGUGAGCGAGAAGUAUGCGGAAUGCGUGGUGUAGCGGUGAAAUGCAUAGAUAUCACGCAGAACUCCGAUUGCGAAGGCAGCAUACCGGCGCUCAACUGACGCUCAGGCACGAAAGCGUGGGUAUCGAACAGGCUUAGAUACCCUGGUAGUCCACGCAGUAAACGAUGAAUGCUCACUGUCCGGGCCGUUUAAGGCCUGG
rnacentral:rRNA from 1 species